rnacentral:SRP_RNA from 1 species
GUGGGGCUCAACGGAGCAGGCCUGUAGUCCCAGCUCCUAGAGAGGCUGAGACAAGAGGGUUGCAUGAUCCCAGGAGUUCUAGGCUGCAGUGUGCUAUUCCAAUUUGGUGUCCACACUAAGUUCAGCAUCAAUACGGUGACCUUCUGGGAGCAGAGGACCAGCGAAUUGCCUAUGGAGGGGUGAAUUGGUCCAGGGUAGAAAUAGAGCAAGUCAAAACUCUCGUGCUUGAAAUGGGAUUACUCCUACGAAUGGCCACUGCAUUCCAGCCUGGACAAUAUAGCAAGACCUCAUCUCU